AGAGUUUGAUUCUGGCUCAGGAUGAACGCUGGCGGCGUGCUUAACACAUGCAAGUCGAACGGAAAGGCUCAAGCUUGCUUGGGUACUCGAGUGGCGAACGGGUGAGUAACACGUGGGUGAUCUGCCCUGCACUUUGGGAUAAGCCUGGGAAACUGGGUCUAAUACCGGAUAGGACCAUCGUUUAGUGUCGGUGGUGGAAAGUUUUUCGGUGUGGGAUGAGCUCGCGGCCUAUCAGCUUGUUGGUGGGGUAAUGGCCUACCAAGGCGUCGACGGGUAGCCGGCCUGAGAGGGUGUACGGCCACAUUGGGACUGAGAUACGGCCCAGACUCCUACGGGAGGCAGCAGUGGGGAAUAUUGCACAAUGGGCGCAAGCCUGAUGCAGCGACGCCGCGUGGGGGAUGACGGCCUUCGGGUUGUAAACUCCUUUCGCCAAGGACGAAGAGGAAUUGACGGUACUUGGAUAAGAAGCACCGGCUAACUACGUGCCAGCAGCCGCGGUAAUACGUAGGGUGCGAGCGUUGUCCGGAAUUACUGGGCGUAAAGAGCUCGUAGGUGGUUUGUCGCGUCGUUUGUGGAAUACCGCAGCUUAACUGUGGGGUUGCAGGCGAUACGGGCAUAACUUGAGUGCUGUAGGGGAGACUGGAAUUCCUGGUGUAGCGGUGAAAUGCGCAGAUAUCAGGAGGAACACCGAUGGCGAAGGCAGGUCUCUGGGCAGUAACUGACGCUGAGGAGCGAAAGCAUGGGUAGCGAACAGGAUUAGAUACUCUGGUAGUCCAUGCUCGUAAACGGUGGGCGCUAGGUGUGAGUCUCUUUCCACGGGGUUCGUGCUCGUAGCUAACGCAUUAAGCGCUCCGCCUGGGGAGUACGGCCGCAAGGCUAAAACUCAAAUGAAUUGACGGGG
rnacentral:rRNA from 1 species